rnacentral:lncRNA from 1 species
AAAAAGUAGGUACAAUAUAGUUACUAUAAGUAAGAAAUGAAUGGUGGAAAUGGUGAAUGCUGCAUAAUAUAUAUAUAUAUAUAGAGAGAGAGAGUUCGGCUAUUAUAUUUUUAUGAGUACGAUCAUCUUCGUACUCGUAAGUCGUUUUCGAUGAUAGAGCUUUCGAAUCGACAAUCCAUACUGUUAAAUAUUAUAUAGAGCAUUUAAAACUUUUAGAAAUCAAAUUUCAAAAUUUCUUAAAAUUAUUUACUUUACUAUCAAAAGAUCUCGAAAUUGAGUGUCAGGGACUUAGAAAAAUUCCUAUGCAGCCCGGUCCCUGGCCCAAAUCUGCUUAGCGAGUUCGGGUUGAAGACGGGUCGAAUCGGGUUGGCAAGUAGACCCAAACCCAACCCGCUGUGGGAAACUCAAGGGUCAUGAAACUCAUGGGAGUUAUGGGUGACUCUUGAGCUUUUGGCAUUUAUGAGGGCUCAUUAUGUAGGCUCAUUAUGUAUGUAAUAAUGGGUGAGUUAUGUGGUAGAACUGCCAGUAUAAAAUACUUGUUAGUUUAGUAGUGUAAAAGAAUCAAAAUCAGUUGAAUUUUUGAUAAUAACUUCAUUCACUAUCUAGAUAAAGAUCAAUAACUUCGAUCUUAAAUUAAGGGACCCGAUCAUCUAUUUUUAGGACGCAUUUGAUGUUAACUGUUUAUUUUAUACCCGCUUGAUGGACUUCAUUAUGAUUUUGAAAAAUUACGAAAUUUAUUUUCUAGAAAUUUUAAAUACUCUAAAUCAUGUUUAAUAGUGUGGAUCGUCGAUUCGGAAGCUCUAUCAUCGAAAAUAAUUUAUGAGUGCGAAGGACAUUAUUAUACUCAUAAAAGAAUAGUAGCCCAUAUAUAUAUAUAUAUAGAGAGAGAGAGAGAGAGAGAGAGAGCUAGGCUGGUAUACUAUCGGUAGCACAGAAGCUUCCGUGCUACCAAGUUGUUUUCAAUGUUGCGGCUUUCAAAUCGACGAUCGGCUCCGUUAGACUUGAUCUACACUAUUGAAAGUAUUUGGAAACUAAAUUUCAUAAUUUUUCGGCAUCAUUUACCUAUCAAACGAGUAGUCUAAAAAUGAACGGCUGAAAAUAAAAAUCUAAUAAAAAAUGAUGAUAAAAGACUUGAAUUUAAGAUCAGAGGUACUGAUCUUACUCUAAAUAGUGAAAAUAAUUUUCUACAAAAAAUUCAUCAGAUUUGGAUUGUUUUACACCGUUAAACUCACAAACGCAUCGCAUCUACCAUUAAAAUUGUUAAUUUUGAGACUUUUUGAUCACUAACCAAAUAAUGUUGAAAAAUUAUGAAAUUUAGUUUUCAAAUACUUUCAAUGGUAUAGAUCAAGUCUAACGGAGCCGAUCGUCAAUUUGGAAGCCGUAUCAUCAAAAACAACUUGGUAGCACGGAGGCCUCCGUGCUACCGAUAGUAUACCAGCCUAGCUCUAUAUAUAUAUAGAGCUAGGCUGGAAUACUAUCAAUACCACCAAACUAUUGGUGCUAUUGAUUUUUUAGCCCCUAGAUUGAGAAAUGGAUGGUUAGGAUGAUGUGGGCCUCUUAGGGUUAAGUAAGUGGUUGGUUGAAUAGUAUAAUCUAAUGGGUAAAAAUAAUCAGAGGAUUAAAUCUAACGGUAGAAAACUCGAUAGCACCAAAUCCUUGGUACUAUCGAUAGUAUCCCAGCCAGACUCUAUAUAUUGUAGAGCUACUAUGCUAUCGGAAGCAUAAGGGAGUUGGUGCUUCCGAUUUUUUAGCCCUUGAAUCAAAGAUUGUAUAGUUGGGAUGUAGGAUGAUAGUGUUUCCUUUAGGGUUGAGUGGUCCCCAUUGGUAAUAAUAUUAAUCCAAUGGUUAAAAAUGAUCAAGAGGGUUGAGCUACUUUUAUAAGUAUAGAUCUCUUUGUACUCAUAAGUUUUCGACCGAUGGAUGUAAGAAUAUACGGUUUUAGGAUCUAGGAUUGAAUGGGUGGUUGAUUGAAUAAUAUGAUUUAACAGGUGGAAAUGAUCAAAGGGGUAAAUCUAACGGUCGAAAACUUAUAAGUAUAAAGGGAUCCAUACUCAUUAUAAAAUAGUAUAGUAACUGGACUCUCUCUCUCUCUCUCUCUCUCUAUAUAUAUAUAUAUAUGUAUUCAUCCGUUUACUUUUUU